rnacentral:rRNA from 1 species
UACGUAGGAGGCGAGCGUUGUCCGGAAUUACUGGGCGUAAAGAGCGCGUAGGCGGCGCGAUACGACCGAUGUGAAAGCCCGAGGCUCAACUUCGGGUCGGCCGCGGAUACUCUCGUGCUGGAGGGUGGUAGAGGCCAAUGGAAUUCCGGGUGUAGCGGUGGAAUGCGUAGAGAUCCGGAAGAACACCGGUGGCGAAGGCGGUUGGCUGGCCACACCUGACACUGAGGCGCGACAGCGUGGGAGCAACAGG